UACGUAGGGGGCAAGCGUUGUCCGGAAUCAUUGGGCGUAAAGGGCGCGUAGGCGGCCUGGUAAGCGUGCGGUGAAAGCCCGGGGCUCAACCCCGGGUCGGCCGUGCGAACUGCGAGGCUGGAGCACUGUAGAGGCAGGUGGAAUUCCGGGUGUAGCGGUGGAAUGCGUAGAGAUCCGGAAGAACACCGGUGGCGAAGGCGGCCUGCUGGGCAGUGGCUGACGCUGAGGCGCGACAGCGUGGGGAGCAAACAGG
rnacentral:rRNA from 1 species